AAGUUAAGGUAGGCGUGUGUGAUAGGGAAGUAAGCAGACAGGUAUUCACAGGUCUCACCUUUCCGCCCCUUCCCUCUUUUGUUGUGGAUUUCCUCACUGAAAAGAGGAACUUCACAUUAUUUUUGUAAAGUUUCGCAAGGACACCAGCUCAAUUUCUCAAGAAAAACUUUAUUUUUAGGGGGGGACUCAACAGGUUGAAGUUCUUUUGCACAUCCUGCAAUGGAAACCUUCCUCCCGGGGCCCCAACCAAGAGGCAAAGACGACAGCGGGCCACCUUGCAGGGAGGUUGCGUGCCAUGGCCACGGCUAUUGCGAGAUCCCCCCCGCAAGUGGUACCGACUUUGCGUGCGUGUGUGACCUGGGCUACCAGGGAGAUUCCUGCGACGAGACGGUCAACAGGUCGCUGAGUCUCCCCCUGACCCUGGGCGUGGUGGGCUUCCUGGUCGGCAUAAUCAUUUUGGCUUUCGUCUUCGCCAAGUUACGACAGACACAAAAACAGAGAAAGAGGGACUUGCAGCAAAUCUUGGCUAAAAAAGGCCUGUGUGAUGAGGCCCAAUCACCUUAACAGCAGAGGUACUCCUCUGACUUUUUGACCAGUGAUUCUUCAUUCAACAUGCACCAAAUGCAAACUUUCAAGUUUUCAACGAUGGACAUUUUCUGCGCCUCUUCUAGCCCAUUGAUUAUUUCAUUUGCAGUGAAAUGACAAGUGAAUUUCCCUCAACACUAACACAAAGUAUGCGCUACUGUUUUCAAAAGGAGAACAAAUGUCAUAUGGCCCAGCAACCUCCUGUCCAUGAAAACAUGAACUCUGUUGUGUUUGAAUGAAGCUUUGUUACUUUAAAGUCUCACAGCUCAAACAUUCAAAGGGAGUGUAUUUGGUCCAACCCACUCAUUUCCUUUUGAAUGCUUUAAGAAUGUGAAAUGUUGUCCAUUUCCAAACUGUUUCCAUUCUUUACUAAAAAGCUAAAUAUAUUUAUUAUGAAUUAUCAACACUGUAAUUAAUGUCUAAACAACUUUAAUUUUACUUAAGCACUUAUAUUGUACAAGGAUGUGAUUAUUUAGUUGAUGCUCCUGUUAUAUUUUAAUCAAGUAAUUUAAUUGCCAACUGUUCUUAAAAUAUAUUGUGAAUAGAUGUUGUCAAUUUGUUGUACAACAAAUCCAAGUGGUGCAAAAACCUGGAAUAUUUCAAUGACCAAAGUGCUUCCAUUUUAUAGUAUUUUUUUUAUUCUAAUUUACUGAGUGAAACUUUAAACUACCUAGCACCUAGGUACAAUUACAAAUGUUAAUUUCUUUGUUUCCAGGGAUUCAUUUUCAGAAGUUUGUUAGUGUCCUUUUUUUCAUACCAAUCAAUCGUAUUCCAGAAGUUACUGUUUAAAAUGGCAAGUCCUUUUGCGCUUAUAUUCUGUUAUUCAAUAAAACCUGCUCCUUUGACCCAC